AAAAAAAAAAAAAAAAAAGAAAAAAAUUAAAAAAAAAAAAGUACAUUCUUGCGGCGCCUUGGGUCCAUUUUCCAGAUGGUUUGUUGCUCUUGCUGCCUGAUUUGGUUUCGGCUUUUAUUCCCCAGUCUCAGAUUCUCUUACAGAGACUCCGCCGGAAUGAGCGAGCCCCGGCGGCCCUUGACGCUUUUCUGGCUCUGCGGGCCGGCUACACGGGUCGGGAAUCGGCCUCCGUGAGCCUGGCGCGCGCAUUUUGGUUGCUUUCAGGUUUAAUUAACUUUGAACAACAAAUAUGCCUGGAGCUCUGGAUCUGGUGUCGCCUUGGGGAAGGGGCCGUCGUAUUAUAUUCUGCGUCCUUCCCAGCCUGGGGCGGGGUGGGGGCUGGCAGCAGCAGCCUGCACGCCCCUCCCCAGACCAGCGCCGCGCGUCAGAAAGGCACGUGCUGGACUGUGCCCGCGCCUGCGACAGAGCCCGAACCGUCCCCUUCCAACCCCUAGAAGGCAAGGAAAAGCCGGGAUCUCUCUAGCCUGCUCUCCUUUGUUGAAACUACCCUCUGCCCAAUGAUCGCUCCCUCCUGUCCCUGAACGUGGGACUUCGAAGAGUUGGAUGUGGCGUCCUUGAAGUAUCCCUUCAAGUGCCCUCCGUCCCCAGACUGGGCAAAGGGAGUAGGGCUCGCCUUUUAAGCCCAAGUCUACCGCUCCUGUUUGGAUUAAUCCCGAUCUUUACACUAAUAUCGCCUCUCGGGUUUUCAUUAUACUCAUCUGGGAGGAAAUGAGCUCUUGCCGGGCAAAUAGCACCCUGCACCCCACUUCUCAUAGCUGUGCAGGGCCGGGGCCUGAACAACCCCGCAGGCAAUCCCGGAGCUGCCGAUAUUAUAUUUGUGAAAUGUCCUUUUGUUGAGGCUUUUAACACCUUCUUAUAACGAAUCAUUUGUUCUUUUCUCUUUAAUUUUGAUAGACAAUUAGCCAUCAGAGAUACAUCAGUUGACUGUAACCGAGCAUUAAACUCGCCUUUAUGUAACGCUAAUUUAGCAUAGCUGCUUUGUUUAACUUUGCUAUAUAAGAACCAGGUUUUGUAGAAAAAAAAUAGGUGUAAUUUUAUGUGGGGCUUCGUUUCUUUUGGGCCUGUACGCAGCAAGCCCUCUCCUCUUUGUGAAGCGUUCUGCUGGGGUCUGACGCCAUUUCCCGUGCCUAGCACCUGCAGGCUGGGGGGAGAGAGGGAAUUAGCAUUGAUAUAGAUUUAGUUGAAAUGUAAUCUCUUAAAUCUGUCCAAGAUUCGGGGAGAUAAUUACACUUUCACUGAAUUGCCAGGGGUCAGCGUCUCUGAGGACCUGAGGAGUUGAUUUACUAACAAUAGUGUUACAUAAAAAAUGGCGUUUGAGAUUAUAAUGUUAAUGGCUGCGGUCGCUGGGGAAUGAGUCCGUUUCCAACUAAUUCCAUGUAACUUGUUUUUUGCCUCCCUUUUCCUCCCUCCCUUUCUUCCACGCUCCCUCUUUGC
rnacentral:lncRNA from 13 species